UACAAUAUAUAUAGAUAGAUAGAUAUUUCCAUCUUACUCAUAUUUAUGUGUUAAUUCGCGUGUGUAUGAAAUUAUUAAAAAGUAGCAGAUACGAGAGAAUGCAAUCGGUGAAGGAGAAGGUGAGCAACGCGGCCAGUGCUGGGAAGGAGCAUGUUGAAAUCUACAAAGCCAAAGUUCAAGAGAAGGUUUAAGUAUUAGUAUUUCCACCCUACCCUUUUCAAUCUUAAUUUGUUACGUACCUAUUUACUUUUCAUAAAACAUUCAUAUAUAAAGUAAGUAAGUCAGUCAGUCAGUCAGUCAGAGUCAGAGAGUUGCUUAAUUAAUUUGUUUAUGAUGAUAUUUACAGGCUGAGAAAGCAACAGCAAGAACAAAGGAAGAAGAAGUAAUAACUCAUGAAAAAAGGAAAGCCAAGGAAGCUGAAGCGAAGAUGAAGCUGCAUGAAGCCAAAGCUAAACACGCGGCUGAUAAACUCUACGGGAAGCACUCCCUUCACCACCCCCAUCCCCACCCCCAUGCUCCUGUUGAAGCCGUAGCCCCGGCUGCAGGCCAAGGCCACCACCACCACCUGUUACCCCCGACUACGGCUCCUACGUACCCUCCUGGACAUAAUACCUAGCUAGCCGGAUCAGUCAUUUUGACUAAUUACAUCUAGUUGUGUGUUUUUGUUUCUUGAGAUAAUAGAUGGAGGAUGUAAGCUUGGCUUGGGUCAAAUUAUGCUUGUCAAAUGAAUUGUUUUGUUUGCUCAAUUAGUACCACCC
rnacentral:lncRNA from 1 species